AGCUUUGCACAGAGGCAGUACCAUAGCCAAUGAGCUUUAUCCAAGGUGUGAUUAUUGCUCAUUGAAAACUUUUCCCAAUACUGCACCAUGAUGACUUGAAAUACAGUCCAGGGGAGGGGUAGAUAGCAUAAUGGUUAUGCAAAGAGACUCUCAUGCCUGAGGCUCCAAAGUCCCAGGCUCAAUCCCCUGCACCACCAUCAGCCAGAGUUGAGCAGUGCUCUGGUAAAAAAAAAAAAGGAAAAAGGAAAAAAAGAAAGGAAAAUAAAAAAGAAAUAUAGUCCACACUGGCAAUUUUUGACAGUCUCUAGGGA
rnacentral:snRNA from 1 species